AUACGUAGGGGGCAAGCGUUAUCCGGAUUUACUGGGCGUAAAGGGUGCGUAGGCGGCAUUUACAAGUCUAAUGUGAAAUCCCAGUGCUUAACAUGGGGUUUGCAAUAGAAACUGUAAAGCUAGAGUGCAGGAGAGGUAAGUGGAAUUCCUAGUGUAGCGGUGAAAUGCAUAGAUAUUCGGAGGAACACCAGUGGCGAAGGCGGCUUACUGGUCCAUUACUGACGCUGAGGUGCGAAGGCGUGGGGAGC
rnacentral:rRNA from 1 species